GUGUGUGUGUGUGUGUGUGUGUGUGUGUGUGUGUGUGUGUGUGUGUGUGUGUGUGUGUGUGUGUGUGUGUGUGUGUGUGUGUGUGUGUGUGUGUGUGUGUGUGUGUGUGUGUGUGUGGUUCCUCACCUCUUCUCCUCAGGUGUGACAGGCAGGCCGCACCAGGUGCCAUCGAUCAGAGGCAAUUAAGGUGGAGCACUUAAAGCUGGCCGGAGGAGGAAAGCAGAUGCCAGAUGAUUAAGCCACACAGCUUGGUAAUCAGAUCAGGUCAGCUCAGCUCAGCUCAGCUCAGCUCUGUGCUUCCUUGUGCUUCCCAGUGUUUUUCUCACGAGUAAUGUUUAGUCUCGCAGCCGGCCCGACUUUCUGAGUUCCCAGGAUCUCCCAGCGUCUUCCCUGAACCGUGGUGUCUGCUUCACCCAGUGCUCCUCCUGGCUGCAGCGCUUCAGCUCUGUCAUCCAUGCCCUGUUGGAUCCUCCUCUUCUCCACCUGCCUGUCCACCCUCAAGCCUCCAGCGUGCCUAGGAAAUCUCAACCUCUGCCUGCCACACUACCACACUGGACCUCACCUCUCCUCCAAAACACUCCUCGCCACGCAGACCAAACCGCCUCCGCGAACCCGUCCAGAGUUCCUCCACCAUACUGGGAGCCCGCUGAACUUUUAAUAAAACUGUUUAACUUC